rnacentral:tRNA from 1 species
GCAUUGGUGGUUCAGUGGUUGAAUUCUCGCCUGCCACGCUGGAGGCCUGGGUUCGAUUCCCGGCCAAUGCA